AUGGCUCAGAUUGAACGCUGGCGGAAUGCUUUACACAUGCAAGUCGAACGGCAGCACGGGGCAACCUGGUGGCGAGUGGCGAACGGGUGAGUAAUACAUCGGAACGUGCCCAAUCGUGGGGAUAACGUAGCGAAAGUUACGCUAAUACCGCAUACGAUCUACGGAUGAAAGCGGGGGAUCGCAAGACCUCGCGCGAAUGGAGCGGCCGAUGUCAGAUUAGGUAGUUGGUGGGGUAAAGGCUCACCAAGCCAACGAUCUGUAGCUGGUCUGAGAGGACGACCAGCCACACUGGAACUGAGACACGGUCCAGACUCCUACGGGAGGCAGCAGUGGGGAAUUUUGGACAAUGGGCGCAAGCCUGAUCCAGCCAUUCCGCGUGCAGGAUGAAGGCCUUCGGGUUGUAAACUGCUUUUGUACGGAACGAAACGGCGAGCUCUAAUACAGUUUGCUAAUGACGGUACCGUAAGAAUAAGCACCGGCUAACUACGUG
rnacentral:rRNA from 1 species